AGAGUUUGAUCCUGGCUCAGGACGAACGCUGGCGGCAUGCCUAAUACAUGCAAGUCGAACGCUGAAGCACUCUGCUUGCAGAGUGCGGAUGAGUGGCGAACGGGUGAGUAACACGUGGGAAAUCUGCCUAGGAGUGGGGGAUAACAUUCGGAAACGGAUGCUAAUACCGCAUAUCUUUUUGAACCGCAUGGUUCUUAAACGAAAGACGGCUUCGGCUGUCGCUCUUAGAUGAUCCCGCGGCGUAUUAGUUAGUUGGUGGGGUAAAGGCCUACCAAGACCAUGAUACGUAGCCGGCCUGAGAGGGUGACCGGCCACACUGGGACUGAGACACGGCCCAGACUCCUACGGGAGGCAGCAGUAGGGAAUCAUCGGCAAUGGGGGAAACCCUGACCGUGCAAUGCCGCGUGAGUGAUGAAGGCCUUCGGGUUGUAAAACUCUGUUGUGAAGGAAGAAUAGCCUAGAUAGAAUCUAGGUCUGACGGUACUUCACCAGAAAGCCAUGGCUAACUACGUGCCAGCAGCCGCGGUAAUACGUAGAUGGCAAGCGUUAUCCGGAUUUAUUGGGCGUAAAGGGUGCUCAGCUGGUUUAUUAAGUUUGUAGUUAAAAUUCGAAGCUCAACUUCGAAGUGCUGCGAAAACUGGUAAACUUGAGUACAGGAGAGGGGUAGUGGAAUUCCAUGUGAAGCGGUAAAAUGCGUAGAUAUAUGGGAGACCACCAGUGGCGAAGGCGGCUACCUGGCCUGUAACUGACGGUCAAGCAACGAAGGCGUGGGGAGCAAAUAUGGAUUAGAUACCCCUAAUAGUCCACGUCGGAAAACGAAUGAUUCCUAAGGGGGUGGGG
rnacentral:rRNA from 1 species